rnacentral:tRNA from 1 species
GGGCAUGUAGUGUAGGGGUUAUCGCGCCUCAUUCGCAGACAGAGCCUGUCACGUGAUUUGAGGAGGUCCUGAGUUCAAUUCUCAGCUUGUCCA